rnacentral:rRNA from 1 species
CUCUGUGGGAUCAGUGGCGAACGGGUGAGUAACACGUGAGCAACCUGCCCCUGACUCUGGGAUAAGCGCUGGAAACGGCGUCUAAUACUGGAUAUGUGACGCGACCGCAUGGUCUGUGUCUGGAAAGAAUUUCGGUUGGGGAUGGGCUCGCGGCCUAUCAGCUUGUUGGUGAGGUAAUGGCUCACCAAGGCGUCGACGGGUAGCCGGCCUGAGAGGGUGACCGGCCACACUGGGACUGAGACACGGCCCAGACUCCUACGGGAGGCAGCAGUGGGGAAUAUUGCACAAUGGGCGCAAGCCUGAUGCAGCAACGCCGCGUGAGGGACGACGGCCUUCGGGUUGUAAACCUCUUUUAGCAGGGAAGAAGCGAAAGUGACGGUACCUGCAGAAAAAGCGCCGGCUAACUACGUGCCAGCAGCCGCGGUAAUACGUAGGGCGCAAGCGUUAUCCGGAAUUAUUGGGCGUAAAGAGCUCGUAGGCGGUUUGUCGCGUCUGCUGUGAAAUCCGGAGGCUCAACCUCCGGCCUGCAGUGGGUACGGGCAGACUAGAGUGCGGUAGGGGAGAUUGGAAUUCCUGGUGUAGCGGUGGAAUGCGCAGAUAUCAGGAGGAACACCGAUGGCGAAGGCAGAUCUCUGGGCCGUAACUGACGCUGAGGAGCGAAAGGGUGGGGAGCAAACAGGCUUAGAUACCCUGGUAGUCCACCCCGUAAACGUUGGGAACUAGUUGUGGGGUCCAUUCCACGGAUUCCGUG